rnacentral:rRNA from 1 species
UACAGAGGUGGCAAGCGUUGUUCGGAAUUACUGGGCGUAAAGCGCACGUAGGCGGCUUUGUAAGUUAGAGGUGAAAGCCCGGGGCUCAACUCCGGAACUGCCUUUAAGACUGCAUCGCUUGAAUCCGGGAGAGGUGAGUGGAAUUCCGAGUGUAGAGGUGAAAUUCGUAGAUAUUCGGAAGAACACCAGUGGCGAAGGCGGCUCACUGGACCGGUAUUGACGCUGAGGUGCGAAAGCGUGGGGAGCAAACAGG